UACGAAGGGGGCGAGCGUUGUUCGGAGUUACUGGGCGUAAAGGGCGCGUAGGCGGCGCUCCAAGUUAGGCGUGAAAGCCCCGGGCUCAACCUGGGAAUAGCGCUUAAGACUGGAGUGCUCGAGUGCGGAAGAGGUGAGUGGAAUUCCCAGUGUAGAGGUGAAAUGCGUAGAUAUCUGGAGGAAUACCGGUGGCGAAGGCGGCAUCCUGGACCGGCAUUGACGCUGAUGAGCGAAAGCUAGGGGAGCAAACGGG
rnacentral:rRNA from 1 species